rnacentral:tRNA from 1 species
UGGGGCGUCGUCUAACGGUAGGACAUGCGACUCUGACUCGCAGUAUCGGGGUUCGAAUCCCUGCGCCCCAACCA